rnacentral:tRNA from 1 species
ACCGAGUAUGAGUUAAUAGAGAUUGCUAACCUUCUAUAUCCGAGGAUAACCCCACGGCUUACUC